rnacentral:misc_RNA from 1 species
UGGAGAUUUUGGGUUAGCAAAGCUCUUAGAUCACCGGGAUUCUCAUGUAACGACUGCUGUGAGGGGCACAGUUGGUCACAUUGCUCCAGAAUAUCUUUCAACGGGUCAAUCGUCUGAAAAGACUGAUGUGUUUGGUUUUGGUAUCUUGCUUCUUGAGCUAAUUACAGGUCAGAAGGCUGUAGAGUUUGGACGAGGGGCGAACCAGAAAGGUGUUAUGCUUGAUUGGGUAAAAAAACUUCAUGUAGAGAAAAAGCUGAACCUUAUGGUGGACAAAGAUUUGAAGAACAACUUUGACGGGAUUGAACUUGAAGAGAUGGUUCAAGUUGCACUUCUGUGUACCCAUUUUAUUCCAACUUAUAGGCCAAAGAUGUCGGAGGUAUUAAGGAUGUUGGAAGGAGAUGGAUUAGCUGAAAAAUGGGAGGCUUCACAAAAAGUAGAGACUCCUACUCCUAGGUUCACAACAUCUGAAAAUACACCAAAAAGAUAUUCUGAUUAUAUACAAGAAUCAUCACUAGUCGUCGAAGCAAUGGAGCUUUCAGGACCUAGAUGAUGACAUCUGCUUCUAUUCUUGCCUUGAAAAUCUGCCUCUGCCUGUAUUAUUAAUCUGUA